AAAAGUGAAACACUGUUGGCAGAACGUCACGCCCGGGCCCACCCUUGGCAGGGCCAGGCCAUCUCCAUCGUCCCACGGAAGAGAAGGGUGAGGCCCAGGACAUGCAGAGACUCCCGCACAGCCCUGCAGAGGUUUUUGCCAUUUCUCCGAUUGUGACUUCAUUCUGGGAGCAAUGGAAGGAUGCCUUGCCAAAUUUAGAACAUACUUGAACUUUGUGAUUUCAUACAUCUGAAAUAAACUCCAAUCUUUACAAGUCAGCUUGUGAACUAUAAAAUAAAAGAACAUUACUUCCUUUUUCCAAGAAAAGAGCCUCUAACAGCUUCUUGGACAUCACAUUUCCUCCACAACACCAGACUUCAAUGACCUAAGUGUUUGAACACACUAUUUCCUCAAGUGGGAGCAGGAGCAAUUUGAGAACGGCGGCUUUUGUGAACUUCUGUGUAACCUUGGCUUUGUGGAGACGGGAUUCUAUUACCAUGACAUUUAAGGAGGAAAAAACAAGCUGUUCUGAAUUGUGUCAAUCUCACUUGUAAUCUAUUUUUGAACAAUGUACGAUGGAGAUAUUCCUGUUCACACAGAACUAGUGAUUUACCCUCUGGUGGGUUCUACCCUUACAGCUGCUUUGCAAUAAAUAAAGCCACAGCAGAGAGGGAA